UUGAUGUUAUCUUCAAGCUCUAACAAUGUGAUCUUCUACUUGUUUCUUUAAUAAUAGGGACAAGGUUUUUAAUAGUGGUGACAAUGAAGGAAGAGUUUGAAGCUAAGGCACUCAAUGUUUUGCUUUUUGGUUAUAUGUAAAUACGAACAAUGACAAUGAAGUAUUACGUAAUACAUAUGCGGAGGAACUUAAGGCUAAGAGGCACUCAAUAUUUUGCUUUUUGGUUAUAUGUAUAUGCUGAGGAGGAACUUAAGGCUAAGGCACUCAAUAUUUUGCUUUUUGGUUAUAUGUAUAUGCGUACAAUAACAAUGAUGUAUUACCUAGUGUAUAUGUGGAGGAGCUUGAAGCGAAGGCACUCAAUAUCUUGCAUUUUGGUUGUAUGUAUAUGCGUACACUGAAAAUGAAGUAUUGCAUAGUAUAUAUGUAACUGCACGUUUAGUAAUGGAAGUGUUUAGUAUUUAGUUUAG
rnacentral:lncRNA from 1 species